ACUGCGGUGGAUAGCUCAAGAAAUGGAGGUGAUUCGCGCGGGGGCUGGACGUUAAAUAAU
rnacentral:misc_RNA from 1 species